UUACGGCCAUAUCACGUUGAAAUACCGGUUCUCGCAAGAUCACCGAAGUUAAGCAACGACGUGUCUGAUCACUACCUAGAUGGGUGUUCGUCUGAGAAUACUAGGGG